AAAGUACAAAGAAGAAGGAAAAGUGCGAUGCCGAAAUUGUGCGUGGAGUAUUCCAAGUCGGGACGAGCCAAGUGCUCCAACACGUCAUGCGGCAAGAAGAUUGAGAAGCACGAGCUACGAAUCGGCACCGAGGUAAUCAUGCCAUUUAGCGAGGAGGGAGUAGAGUCAUGGAAAUGGCGCCACCUCUGCUGCUUCACGGAGCGACAGCUGAGCAAUGCAAGGAGCAGCGGUGACAUUGACGCCAUUCAAGGCGAGGGCGACUUGGCACCCGCCGACAAGGCACUCGUGCAGAAGAUGCGUGAAGGUAGGCUCGUCGGUGAUACGUCCAUCCUUGGACGUAUUGGCGACAUCGCACACUCCGCAGUGAGCAAGGAACUAAAGGGAAAGGGCAGCAAAGCCACCAAGCCAAAGGCAAAGGCGAGCGGCUCUGCGGACGAUGGGGGCUUACCGUCCGCUUCUGCUGGCGAGAAGCGACCACCUGCGCCGCCACGGAAAACAAAGAUACCGAACACCAAGAAGCAAGAUGAUGAUGCUGAUUCCGAAGCGACAGAGGAGUACGAAGUGGCUGUCGAGGCUGUGACGGGAAAGCCGAAAUGCCCGUAUGGGGCCCACUGCUUUCGCACAACCGAGGAGCACUUCCGGCAGUACACGCAUGGCGACGAUAACGGCACCGCAGCCGAUGCUGCAGUCCCGUCUGACCACAGCAGCGCCAAACUCAAGCCCGUGAUAAAACGAAGAAAGCUGUAGCAUAGUGUGCGGCAACACUACAUGCGCUAUCGCCGAACGCACUUGGGCACUGGCAAUUUCUAGUUGGCGAGGGAGUCGUGUCACGCUGAAGGCCAGCCAACGGCGCGUUAGACAUGUUGCCAGUACCGGGACCUACGGUAGCGGCACCAAAAUUCUCUAUUAGUGUUAUCGCUGUGGAAACGUCCAGUUCAGUCUGCUGCAAGCAUGCGGUGACGUUUGUCGCGCCGCCCCUCGUUCACUGGAGACUCCCACCAAAGAGGAUCUCACGUGGCCGUAGAUUUGACUAACAGCAGGUGCGCUCACGUCUCCAACGCAGCCUACGAGCUUCUCCUCUUUCCCACUCGCUCACGACUUUCUUCUUUUGUGCGCAUCUGUUCUCGACAUGAUGGCUUCAGCGCAGUGGGGGCUUGCAACAGUUCUACGUUCUUCUGAACUGCCGUGCGCGUUUUUUUUCUGCGUGUGCGUGCGUUUGCGCCAACCGUGCGAGUCGCGGCCAUCGUCCUGUCGGCUUUCUGACGUGACACGCCCGGAGGCACAAGCGCCACAAAAAACUGCCUGCGCUUCCGGCCGAGUGCGUCUCGGUGCUUGAGCGAGAAUCUCGCGCAGGGACUCACCCCGUCUUCCUAACCGGAGGGGAAGACGUUGGAGCUCAAGGCAAAAAAAAAAGCAUUGAAGG
rnacentral:misc_RNA from 1 species